rfam:Stegodyphus mimosarum contig40616, whole genome shotgun sequence.
GCCUUUGUGGUGUAGUGGUCAGCGCGCUCGGUGCGUAUUCGAGAGGUCCGUGGUUCCAGUCCCGGCGACGGUG